AUGUAUUGGAGGGUGAGAAUGGUUGUGUUUCUCGGCUGGACUCUGCUCUCUGUGUGCCUGCUGGUUUCUGCCUCGCAAGCCCAGAAAAACAUCACAGCUGAGUCUGGACAGAAUGUCACGCUGACAUGUCGAGCUCCAGGCAACAUCCAGACUGUGGAGUGGAGCAGAGCUGACCUGGGAGAGAAAUAUGUUUUUUUGUAUCGGGAUGGGAGGAAAACUUUAGUGCACCAACAUCCAUCUUUUAAGGACCGGGUGGAUCUACAGGACAAACAGAUGAAGGAUGGAAACGUGUCCUUGAUUCUGAAGAAUGUGACGAUUAAUGACACUGGAACAUACGAGUGUCGUGUAAAGGCAAACAAAAAAAGACGCAGGAAGAGAGCUAAUCUGAAUGCUCCCCCCAUCAGCAUCAUCUACCUUCAUGUUGAUCCUCCAGGAUCUGUUGGACUGAUCGUUGGUGUGGUAGUUGCUGCUGUCCUCAUCAUUGCUGCUUUUGUUGGGUUUGUGAUCUACAGGAAGCAUAAAGGAGAAAAGAUUCAGGGUUCACACUAA
rnacentral:lncRNA from 1 species